rnacentral:rRNA from 1 species
UACGAACUGUGCGAACGUUACUCGGAAUCACUGGGCUUACAGGGUGCGUAGGCGGCUUGUUAAGUAGGGUGUGAAAGCCCCCGGCUCAACCGGGGAAUGGCGCCCUAAACUGGCGAGCUGGAGUGAGAUAGGGGUGUGCGGAACUUCCGGUGGAGCGGUGAAAUGUGUUGAUAUCGGAAGGAACGCCGGUGGCGAAAGCGGCACACUGGAUCUCAACUGACGCUGAGGCACGAAAGCGUGGGGAUCAAACAGG